AUGAAAAAAGAAAGAACAGCAGGAACAGGACAGAGACAAAGAGGCAGUGUAAAAUCAGCCAAAACUCAUUACCCCAUAUGAACAAACUGUCCUGAAGAACGUGUGUACACCUAUCAGGCUCUAACACAAUUGUUGAUGUAGAACACAAUAAGUAAAGGACCUUCAAAACGGACUUGAUCUUGGUGUGGUAUCCCCGGAAGUCCUGCAGAAUUAUUUUGAUCUGGAGCAAUAUCCUUUUAUUUCAGAACUAACUCAUUGAUUCCAGGGAUUCAGGGAGAGAUUAUUGGCAGAUCCCAAAUUUUUACAUAGACUAGCUAUAGAAGAAGCUAUAUCAAUUACAAUUACUCUCUUAGCACAGUAUGAAAGGCGUAAAGAAAAUUUCUUUGAAGAGCUUGACUAUGUUAUUACGGAUACUGUCAGGGGAUCAGUUGUUGAUUUUUUCACUGUAUGGCUUCCUGCUCCAACCUUGUCUUUCCUUUCAAUUGGAGAUACAAUAGAUACACCGGACAGCAUGGAAGCAUUAAAGGGCUUACUUGGUUCCAUACUGGAUAAUGCAUUUCAAA